GAUGAACGCUGGCGGCGUGCCUAAUACAUGCAAGUCGAGCGAACGGACGAGAAGCUUGCUUCUCUGAUGUUAGCGGCGGACGGGUGAGUAACACGUGGAUAACCUACCUAUAAGACUGGGAUAACUUCGGGAAACCGGAGCUAAUACCGGAUAAUAUUUUGAACCGCAUGGUUCAAAAGUGAAAGACGGUCUUGCUGUCACUUAUAGAUGGAUCCGCGCUGCAUUAGCUAGUUGGUAAGGUAACGGCUUACCAAGGCAACGAGGCAUAGCCGACCUGAGAGGGUGAUCGGCCACACUGGAACUGAGACACGGUCCAGACUCCUACGGGAGGCAGCAGUCGGGAAUGUGACGCAGUGGGGGAAAGCCUGACGGAGCAACGCCGCGUGAGUGAUGAAGGUCUUCGGAUCGUAAAACUCUGUUAUUAGGGAAGAACAUAUGUGUAAGUAACUGUGCACAUCUUGACGGUACCUAAUCAGAAAGCCACGGCUAACUACGUG
rnacentral:rRNA from 1 species